rnacentral:lncRNA from 1 species
GAUGGGCAGUCUUGGGAACUCCCCCUUCUACCGUGAAGCUCGAGUUUGGCUUCCCAUUGCUGAACAAAACACACCAGAAAUACGGACCGCCGCCAGAAGUGCCGGUGACAGCCGCCCCCACCUCUGUGUGGUUCUUGCUAUGCAAUACCUGGAGGCUCCUCUCAUCAGCAAUGAGCAUGUCGAAGGCCUGUGCUGGAGGUGGGUAGGUUGGCUGGCACGCCAGGAGCCUCCCAGUGAUCUUGGCAAGGCUUGCAGUUUGGACACCACAAUUUGGGGCAAAUGUGUCGAUGAAACUGGAAUCCACAGGCUUCUUGU